ACCUCUGUGAUGUAGUGGUAGCACGCCUCCCCGAUAUGGAUAAAACGCGGGUUCAACUCUCGGCUGAGGUC